rnacentral:rRNA from 1 species
AGUGAACGCUGGCGGUAGACCUAACACAUGCAAGUCGAACGGCAGCACAGUAAGAGCUUGCUCUUACGGGUGGCGAGUGGCGGACGGGUGAGGAAUACAUCGGAAUCUACUUUUUCGUGGGGGAUAACGUAGGGAAACUUACGCUAAUACCGCAUACGACCUACGGGUGAAAGCAGGGGAUCUUCGGACCUUGCGCGAUUGAAUGAGCCGAUGUCGGAUUAGCUAGUUGGCGGGGUAAAGGCCCACCAAGGCGACGAUCCGUAGCUGGUCUGAGAGGAUGAUCAGCCACACUGGAACUGAGACACGGUCCAGACUCCUACGGGAGGCAGCAGUGGGGAAUAUUGGACAAUGGGCGCAAGCCUGAUCCAGCCAGACCGCGUGGGUGAAGAAGGCCUUCGGGUUGUAAAGCCCUUUUGUUGGGAAAGAAAAGCAGCAGGUUAAUACCCCGCUGUUCUGACGGUACCCAAAGAAUAAGCACCGGCUAACUUCGUG